rnacentral:rRNA from 1 species
UACAGAGGGUGCAAGCGUUGCUCGGAAUCAUUGGGCGUAAAGGGCAGGUAGGUGGUCUCGUUUGUCUGGGGUGAAAGCCCAGGGCUUAACCCUGGAAGUGCCCCAGAAACGGCGAGACUAGAGUCUUGGAGAGGGUCGUGGAAUUCCCGGUGUAGCGGUGAAAUGCGUAGAUAUCAGGAGGAACACCUGUGGUGUAGACAGCUUACUGGACCACUUCUGACGCUGAGACACGAAAGCGUGGGUAGCAAACAGG